rnacentral:rRNA from 1 species
GAUGAACGCUGGCGGCGUGCCUAACACAUGCAAGUCGAACGGAGUCGUUUUGGAAAUCUCUUCGGAGAUGGAGUUCUCGACGUAGGGGCGGACGGGGGAGUAACGCGUGAGCAAUCUGCCUUUAAGAGGGGGAUAACAGUCGGAAACGGCUGCUAAUACCGCAUCAAGCAUUAAAUUCGCAUGUUUUUGAUGCCAAAGGAGCAAUCCGCUUUUAGAUGAGCUCGCGUCUGAUUGGCUAGUUGGCGGGGUAACGGCCCACCAAGGCGACGAUCAGUAGCCGGACUGAGGGGUUGCACGCCCACAUUGGCACUGAGACACCGCCCAGACUCCUACGGGAGGCAGCAGUGGGGAAUAUUGCGCAAUGGGGGAACCCCUGACGCAGCCACGCCGCGUGAUUGAACAAGCCCUUCGGGUUGUAAAGAUCUUUAAUCAGGCACGAAACAAAUGACGGUACCUGAAGAAUAAGCUCCGGCUAACUACGUG